rnacentral:pre_miRNA from 16 species
AUUAUUUAUAACUUGGUUGGUCACGCGUAUUCUUGGGGAAUUAACACACCAAAAGAGAUGUUAUUGCUUGAGAAUACACGUAGCUGACAAGUUUGAGCAUCAC